rnacentral:rRNA from 1 species
UAAGACGAACCGAGCGAACGUUAUUCGGAAUCACUGGGCUUAAAGGGCGCGUAGGCGGGCCAUCAAGUCAGGGGUGAAAGCCCCCAGCUCAACUGGGGAAGUGCCUCUGAUACUGGUGGUCUCGAGGGAGGUAGGGGCGUGCGGAACUUCCGGUGGAGCGGUGAAAUGCGUAGAUAUCGGAAGGAACACCGGUGGCGAAAGCGGCGCGCUGGACCUCUUCUGACGCUGAGGCGCGAAAGCCAGGGGAGCGAACGGGAUUAGAUACCCCGGUAGUCCUGGCCCUAAACGUUGGGCACUAGGUUGUGGGCUUACGUGGGCUCACAGCCGGAGCAAAAGUAUUAAGUGCCCCGCCUGGGGAGUAUGGUCGCAAGGCUG